GGAGAGGUGGGUGAGUGGCUGAAACCAGCUCCCUGCUAAGGAGCCGUACGAGCAAUCGUACCGAGGGUUCGAAUCCCUCCCUCUCCGCCA
rnacentral:tRNA from 4 species